rnacentral:hammerhead_ribozyme from 1 species
GCACUGCUGAGGAGUCCCACAAUAGGACGAAACGCCCGUCCAGUGU